UACCUGCAGCCCGAGUGGUGCUCGUUAUUAUUGGGUCUAAAUCGUCCGUAGUCGGCCGGGUAGAUGCCUGGGUAAAUCGAAGCGCUUAACGUUUCGAAUUCCAGGUAGACCGCCCGGCUUGAGAUCGGGUGAGGUGCGAGGUACUUCGGGGGUAGGGGUAAAAUCCUGUAAUCCUCGAGGGACCACCAGUGGCGAAGGCGUCGCACUAGAACGAGUCUGACGAUCAGGGACGAAGCCCUGGGGCGCAAACGGG
rnacentral:rRNA from 1 species